AGAGUUUGAUCCUGGCUCAGGAUGAACGCUGGCGGCGUGCCUAACACAUGCAAGUCGAGCGAAGCACUUUACUCUGAUUUCUUCGGACUGAAGAGUGAUUUGACUGAGCGGCGGACGGGUGAGUAACGCGUGGGUAAUCUGCCUCACACAGGGGGAUAACAGUUAGAAAUGACUGCUAAUACCGCAUAAGGCCACAGCACCGCAUGGUGCAGGGGUAAAAACUCCGGUGGUGUGAGAUGAGCCCGCGUCUGAUUAGCCAGUUGGCGGGGUAAUGGCCCACCAAAGCAACGAUCAGUAGCCGGCCUGAGAGGGUGAACGGCCACAUUGGGACUGAGACACGGCCCAAACUCCUACGGGAGGCAGCAGUGGGGAAUAUUGCACAAUGGGGGAAACCCUGAUGCAGCGACGCCGCGUGAGCGAAGAAGUAUUUCGGUAUGUAAAGCUCUAUCAGCAGGGAAGAAAAUGACGGUACCUGACUAAGAAGCACCGGCUAAAUACGUGCCAGCAGCCGCGGUAAUACGUAUGGUGCAAGCGUUAUCCGGAUUUACUGGGCGUAAAGGGAGCGUAGACGGAUGUGCAAGUCUGGAGUGAAAGCCCGGGGCUCAACCCCGGGACUGCUUUGGAAACUGUAUAUCUUGAGUGCUGGAGAGGUAAGUGGAAUUCCUAGUGUAGCGGUGAAAUGCGUAGAUAUUAGGAGGAACACCAGUGGCGAAGGCGGCUUACUGGACAGUAACUGACGUUGAGGCUCGAAAGCGUGGGAGCAAACAGGAUUAGAUACCCUGGUAGUCCACGCCGUAAACGAUGACUGCUAGGUGUCGGGUAGCAAAGCUAUUCGGUGCCGCAGCUAACGCAAUAAGCAGUCCACCUGGGGAGUACGUUCGCAAGAAUGAAACUCAAAGGAAUUGACGGGGACCCGCACAAGCGGUGGAGCAUGUGGUUUAAUUCGAAGCAACGCGAAGAACCUUACCUGGUCUUGACAUCCUUCUGACCGGCGAGUAAUGUCGCCUUUCCUUCGGGACAGGAGAGACAGGUGGUGCAUGGUUGUCGUCAGCUCGUGUCGUGAGAUGUUGGGUUAAGUCCCGCAACGAGCGCAACCCUUAUCUUCAGUAGCCAGCGGAAUGGCCGGGCACUCUGGAGAGACUGCCAGGGACAACCUGGAGGAAGGUGGGGAUGACGUCAAAUCAUCAUGCCCCUUAUGGGCAGGGCUACACACGUGCUACAAUGGCGUAAACAAAGGGAAGCGAGUCCGCGAGGAUGAGCAAAUCCCAAAAAUAACGUCUCAGUUCGGAUUGUAGUCUGCAACCCGACUACAUGAAGCUGGAAUCGCUAGUAAUCGCGGAUCAGAAUGCCGCGGUGAAUACGUUCCCGGGUCUUGUACACACCGCCCGUCACACCAUGGGAGUCAGUAACGCCCGAAGUCAGUGACCCAACCGGAAGGAGGGAGCUGCCGAAGGCGGGACGGAUAACUGGGGUGAAGUCGUAACAAGGUAGCCGUA
rnacentral:rRNA from 1 species